CAAUGUUCAAGCUUUGCUUGCUGUUGGGCGUCUGUCCCCGCCACUUCGCGUGGGGACUCGCCUUGAAUCUAUCAGCGUCCGUAUGGUUAGGCUAAGAGCGCAGCAGAUUACAGCGCCUCGAAGCCUAGCGUAACGCCUGCUGUAAAACCACAUUUAAACUU
rnacentral:misc_RNA from 1 species